AACGCAUCUUGCGCUCCUUGGUAUUCCUUGGAGCAUGCCUGUUUGAGUAUCAUGAGAAAAACUCAAAGUCAAUUCCUUUCAAUUUGGUUUUGCUUUGGACUUGGAGGUUCUUGCAGAUUUCACCGUCUGCUCCUCUUAAAUGCAUUAGCUGGAUCUCAGUGUUAUGCUUGGUUCCACUCGGCGUGAUAAGUAUCACUCGCUGAGGACACUGUAAAAGGUGGCCAGGAAAAUACUGAUCGAACCGCUUCUAACGGUCUAUUAAGUUAGACAAUUAGCCCCUUAAGUUUGAUCUCAAAUCAGGCAGGACUACCCGCUGAACUUAA
rnacentral:misc_RNA from 1 species